UUCUAAUAUGGCAGACUAGUGCAAUGGAUUUAAGCCCCAUAUAUAAAGUUUAUUCUUUUUUUAGAA
rnacentral:tRNA from 1 species